GCUAGAAGUAGGUGAGAAACGAAGGGUGCGUUUCCUAGCGGCUUAUUGUGAAAGGAGGAAAAUGAAGCCCCAGAGUCAGGAAACUUGGGGCUGGCGGACUUGAAGUUUUGUACUUAGGAAAAGAAAGAGGCUCCAUUAAAGAUCCACAACUCCAGAUCUAAUUGUGGGAAAACAUCAAUGGACUCCAAAUUGACAAUCAUUCUAAAAAGUAUGUAUCCAACCUCAUAAAACUCCCUGUGAAGAUGUAAAAUGUGAUUGGAGAUUGCAAAUACAUUUUUAUGCUUUACUACCAGAAGUGAAGCUCCAAGAAAGCUGAGGUCCAUAGACAGCUUGGGACACCAUACGCAAUGCUCACCUCGCUAU